rnacentral:rRNA from 1 species
UGGGGAAUUUUGGACAAUGGGCGAAAGCCUGAUCCAGCCAUGCCGCGUGAGUGAAGAAGGCCUUCGGGUUGUAAAGCUCUUUUAGUCGGAAAGAAAGAGUUGCAAUGAAUAAUUGUGAUUUAUGACGGUACCGACAGAAAAAGCACCGGCUAACUACGUGCCAGCAGCCGCGGUAAUACGUAGGGUGCGAGCGUUAAUCGGAAUUACUGGGCGUAAAGGGUGCGCAGGCGGUCUUGCAAGUCAGAUGUGAAAGCCCCGGGCUUAACCUGGGAAUUGCGUUUGAAACUACAAGGCUAGAGUGCAGCAGAGGGGAGUGGAAUUCCAUGUGUAGCAGUGAAAUGCGUAGAGAUGUGGAAGAACACCGAUGGCGAAGGCAGCUCCCUGGGUUGACACUGACACUCAUGCACGAAAGCGUGGGGAGCAAACA